rnacentral:rRNA from 1 species
UACGGAGGGUGCAAGCGUUAUCCGGAAUCAUUGGGUUUAAAGGGUCCGCAGGCGGAUUUAUAAGUCAGUGGUGAAAGCCUGAUGCUUAACAUCAGAACUGCCAUUGAUACUGUAAGUCUUGAAUUCGAUCGAAGUGGGCGGAAUAUGACAUGUAGCGGUGAAAUGCUUAGAUAUGUCAUGGAACACCGAUAGCGAAGGCAGCUCACUAGGUCUGGAUUGACGCUCAGGGACGAAAGCGUGGGGAGCAAACAGG